rnacentral:rRNA from 1 species
CCUACGGGAGGCAGCAGUAAGGAAUAUUGGACAAUGGGCGCAAGCCUGAUCCAGCCAUGCCGCGUGAAGGAUUAAGGUCCUCUGGACUGUAAACUUCUUUUAUAGGGGACGAAAAAAGGGCAUUCUUGCUCACUUGACGGUACCCUAUGAAUAAGCACCGGCUAACUCCGUGCCAGCAGCCGCGGUAAUACGGAGGGUGCAAGCGUUAUCCGGAUUCACUGGGUUUAAAGGGUGCGUAGGCGGGCAGGUAAGUCAGUGGUGAAAUCCUAGAGCUUAACUCUAGAACUGCCAUUGAUACUAUCUGUCUUGAAUAUUGUGGAGGUAAGCGGAAUAUGUCAUGUAGCGGUGAAAUGCUUAGAUAUGACAUAGAACACCUAUUGCGAAGGCAGCUUACUACGCAUAUAUUGACGCUGAGGCACGAAAGCGUGGGGAUCAAACAGGAUUAGAUACCCUGGUAGUCCACGCCCUAAACGAUGGAUACUGACAUACGCGAUACACUGUGUGUGUCGUGAGACGAAGACGAGUUAAGUUAAGUACCGUUACCGUUACGGUAAGGUUAACGUUACCGACGAAGGAGUUAGAACGUUAAAGUUAAGUUAGUUAGACGGCGAGAGAGCGACGACGGACGACGACGGAGGAGGAG